rnacentral:rRNA from 1 species
UACGUAGGCAGCAAGCGUUGUUCGGAGUUACUGGGCGUAAAGGGUGUGUAGGCGGUUCUUUAAGUUUGGUGUGAAAUCUCCCGGCUCAACCGGGAGGGUGCGCCGAAAACUGAAGGGCUAGAGUGCGGGAGAGGAGAGUGGAAGUUCCUGGUGUAGCGGUGGAAAUGACGUAGAUAUCGGGAGGAACACCAGUGGCGAAGGCGACUAC